AAUUGGAGGGCAAGUCUGGUGCCAGCAGCCGCGGUAAUUCCAGCUCCAAUAGCGUAUAUUAAAGUUGUUGCAGUUAAAAAGCUCGUAGUUGAAUUUCGGGAUUGACGUGAUGGUCGUGCCUUAAGGGGUAUGAACUGUUGCUGUUGAUUUCUCACCUUCUGGAGAAACUUGAUGUCCUUAAUUGGGUGUCCUGCGGAUCCAGGACCUUUACCUUGAAAAAAUUAGAGUGUUUAAAGCAGGCAUUUUGCUCGAAUACAUUAGCAUGGAAUAAUAGAAUAGGACGGCAUGGUUCUAUUUUGUUGGUUUCUAGGAUCACCGUAAUGAUUAAUAGGGAUAGUUGGGGGCAUUAGUAUUCAAUUGUCAGAGGUGAAAUUCUUGGAUUUAUUGAAGACUAACUACUGCGAAAGCAUUUGCCAAGGAUGUUUUCAUUAAUCAAGAACGAAAGUUAGGGGAUCGAAGACGAUCAGAUACCGUCGUAGUCUUAACCAUAAACUAUGCCGACUAGGAAUCAGACGAUGUUAAUUUUUUAAUGACUCGUUUGGCACCUUACGGGAAACCAAAGUGU
rnacentral:rRNA from 1 species